rnacentral:rRNA from 1 species
GGGGGGGGGGGGGGGGGGGGCUGGCACGUGGGAGGCGAGCGGCCGCGCGGGUGCGGGCGCCUGGUGGCGGGGGGCGGACGGGUGAGUGGUACAUCGGGACAUGUCCUGUAGUGGGGGAUGGCCCGGCGAAAGCCGGAUUAAUACCGCAUACGAACCACGGAUGAAAGCGGGGGACCUUCUGGCCUCGCGCUAUAGGGUUGGCCGAUGGCUGAUUAGCUAGUUGGUGGGGUAAAGGCCUACCAAGGCGACGAUCAGUAGCUGGUCUGAGAGCACGACCAGCCACACUGGGACUGAGACACGGCCCAGACUCCUACGGGAGGCAGCAGUGGGGAAUUUUGGACAAUGGGCGAAAGCCUGAUCCAGCAAUGCCGCGUGUGUGAAGAAGGCCUUCGGGUUGUAAAGCACUUUUGUCCGGAAAGAAAUCCUUGACUCUAAUACAGUCGGGGGAUGACGGUACCGGAAGAAUAAGCACCGGCUAACUACGUG